rnacentral:rRNA from 1 species
GACGAACGCUGGCGGCGUGCCUAAUACAUGCAGGUAGAACGCACAGUUUAUACCGUAGCUUGCUACACCAUAGACUGUGAGUUGCGAACGGGUGAGUAACGCGUAGGUAACCUGCCUGGUAGCGGGGGAUAACUAUUGGAAACGCUAGCUAAUACCGCAUAAUAUUAAUUAUUGCAUGAUAAUUAAUUGAAAGGUGCAAUUGCACCACUACCAGAUGGCCUUGCGUUGGAUUAGUUAGUAGGUGAGGUAACGGCGGACGUAGGGGACGAUACAUAGCCGACCUGGUGGGGUGGUCGGCCAGACUGGGACGGGGACCCGGCCCAGACGGCUACGGGAGGCAGCAGUAGGGAAUCUUGGGGAAUGGACGAAAGUCUGACCGAGCAAGGCCGGGUGAGUGAAGAAGGUUUUCGGAGCGUAAAGCUCUGUUGUAAGAGAAGAACGGGUGUGAGAGUGGAAAGGUCACAUUGUGACGGUAACUUACUAGAAAGGGACGGCUAACUACGUG